UGAAGGAUUUGCUGAUGCUGCUUUGUGGC
rnacentral:piRNA from 1 species